AAGCGCUUGGCCGAGAUCGUGAGUUUUUUAACAAAUGACCUCAAAUCAGGCAAGAAUACCCGCUGAAUUAAGCAUAUCAAUAAGCGGAGGAAAAGAAACUAACAAGGAUUCCCCUAGUAACGGCGAGUGAAGAGGGAAGAGCUCAAAUUUUAAAUCUGCCUUGUUCCAAGGUCGAGUUGUAAUUUGAAGAAGCGUUUUCUUGGGCUCGCGGCCGGUAGAAGUUCUUUGGAACAGGACAUCAUAGAGGGUGACAAUCCCGUCCGUGACCGGUCGUGCGUUCAUAUACGAUACGCUUUCAAAGAGUCGAGUUGUUUGGGAUUGCAGCUCCAAACGGGUGGUAAACAUCACCUAAGGCUAAAUAUUGGCGAGAGACCGAUAGCGAACAAGUACCGUGAGGGAAAGAUGAAAAGAACUUUGAAAAGAGAGUUAAACAGUACGUGAAAUUGUUGAAAGGGAAACGAUUGAAGUCAGUCGUGCUGGCGCGAAAUCAACCCUCUCGUCUUGAGAUCACAUGGCGCGACGAGCCUCAAAACCGUCACGAAGCGUGAACUCUUGACGAAAAGGUGCACUUUCGUGUCCGCUGGUUAACAUCAAUUUCGAACGUCAUAAAAAGGCUGGAGGGAUGUGGCUCCUUCGGGAGUGUUAUAACCUUUAGCGGAAUGUGGUGUUCGGGAUUGAGGAUUGCAACGAAUACCUUCAGGGCUGUUCCACCUGGCUUCUCAUUGGUAUCCUGGUGACGACAGCUUGCUGACGUCGUUAGGAUCAGCUUCUGAACAGGCUAGAGUGUGAGCAAAUUCGUUAAGGAUGUUAACGUAAUGGCUUUAAACGACC
rnacentral:rRNA from 1 species